AUUUUCGAUAAUUUUUUUUCACCAAAAUGCAUUACUAUAUUUUUAGUAUGUUCAAGAGAUUUC
rnacentral:tRNA from 1 species